GACGAACGCUGGCGGCGUGCCUAAUACAUGCAAGUAGGACGCAGUUGCGAACGGGUGAGUAACGCGUAGGUAACUACCUAUUAGAGGGGGAUAACUAUUGGAAACGAUAGCUAAUACCGCAUACUAGAAGAUGGACAUGCGGUGUAUUAGCUAGUAGGGAGGGUAAUGGCCUACCUAGGCAACGAUACAUAGCCGACCUGAGAGGGUGUGCGGCCAAACUGGGAAUGGGACACGGCCCCGAAUCCUACGGGAGGAAGCAGUAGGGAAUUUGUGGCCAUGGGGGGAACCCUGACCGAGCAACGCCGCGUGAGUGAAGAAGGUUUUCGGAUCGUAAAGCUCUGUUGUUAAGGAAGCGGUACUUAACCAGAAAGGGACGGCUAACUACGUGCCAGCAGCCGCGGUAAUUC
rnacentral:rRNA from 1 species